AGAGACAGCAGUAGCCACGGUAAUACGAAGGAGGCUAGCGUUGCUCGGAAUUACUGGGCGUAAAGGGAGCGUAGGCGGACAUUUAAGUCAGGGGUGAAAUCCCAGAGCUCAACUCUGGAACUGCCUUUGAUACUGGGUGUCUUGAGUGUGAUAGAGGUAUGUGGAACUCCGAGUGUAGAGGUGAAAUUCGUAGAUAUUCGGAAGAACACCAGUGGCGAAGGCGACAUACUGGAUCAUUACUGACGCUGAGGCUCGAAAGCGUGGGGAGCAAACAGGAUUAGAUACCCCGUAGUCCCUGUCUCUUAUACA
rnacentral:rRNA from 1 species